rnacentral:rRNA from 1 species
UACGUAGGGGGCAAGCGUUGUCCGGAUUUAUUGGGCGUAAAGAGCGUGUAGGCGGUUUGGUAGGUCCGCUGUGAAAACUCGAGGCUCAACCUCGAGACGCCGGUGGAAACCAUCAGACUAGAGUCCGGAAGAGGAGAGUGGAAUUCCUGGUGUAGCGGUGAAAUGCGCAGAUAUCAGGAAGAACACCCCGUGGCUAAGGCGGCUCUCUAGUACGGUACUGACGCUGAGACGCGAAAGCGUGGGGAGCGAACAGG